rnacentral:rRNA from 1 species
GACGAACGCUGGCGGCGUGCCUAAUACAUGCAAGUCGAACGAGAGGCGGACGGGUGAGUAAUAUAUCGGAACGUGCCCAGUAGCGGGGGAUAACUACUCGAAAGAGUGGCUAAUACCGCAUACUAUUGGAUCGGCCGCAAUGGGAUUAGCUAGUGGGUGGGGUAAAGGCUCACCAAGGCAACGAUCCGUAGCUGGUCUGAGAGGACGACCAGCCCCACUGGGACUGAGACACGGCCCAGACUCCUACGGGAGGCAGCAGUGGGGAAUUUUUGACAAUGGGGGAAACCCUGAUCCAGCCAUCCCGCGUGUGUGAGAAGGCCUUCGGGUUGUAAAGUACUUUUGGCAGAGAAGCGGUAUCUGCAGAAUAAGCACCGGCUAACUACGUGCCAGCAGCCGCGGUAAUUC